UCCUUAUCUGCGAUUUGUUCAUUAUAUUUCAGACAUUUUUUGCAUAUUUCGUACAUUUAACCUUAACUACCGCAUCCCUCUUGCUUGACUAGCGCGUAAUUUGAUAAGCAAAUGCGCAGCAGAAACCACAUAAAAGCGAAUCUAACACCAGUGAUGCUGUGCACGGGUCACCAGUGAGCAGUAAAAUGAUCCGAUUACCAAUUACAUGCUAUCAAACAAUGCAAGCAAGAACUAUUGAGCGAGUCAAGUUUUUCGAUGCAAGAGCUCACUAAAGUAAGCAUUACAAAUGGAAUUUACGGGCUUGUACCGUUGCGGACAAAGAGUCCAGGCAACAAUAAAAACACCACGAAGAUAUGAACCAGCUGAAGGCGUUUAAUGGGAGCAGAUGAAGUUAAUGGCUAAGAAGGAACGUAUGAACAUAUUUUAUAAAAUAACGCCAAUUGUGACCUUAACGAUCAUCAUAAUAUUGCCAAUAGCUAUACACUAUACCUAUACUUUCCUCGUCAAUAAAGAAAAUUGUCUGGUGACGCACACUAUGGGGCACCCAAAAGACCACUUGAUUAAUUGUCAACUGCAACAUUAACGAUAAAUAGUAGAGCCGAUUAUGAAAUGCGAAGAUAAACAGCCGACAGCAACGGAAAGGAACGAAGCGGAUAAAUUACGAAGCAGUAAUGAUGGCUCGGACAAUGGGCAGCGAGUGUCAAAAACACCAACAAACCAAAGUACAAAGCAAAGGUAAUAGAAUCUAUAUUUUAUGAAGGUAUUAUGAGCGGCACUGGCGUGUUAUAGCUGGCAGCUUGUUGUAAGCGGAAAUAAAAGUAACGACCGGAAGAGCAUCUUGUCAAAAGGAAUAGGUUGUUGUUGAUUUUUGUUGUUAACACCGGAACGGCAGCGGCUUUUAGGCCUUGUAAACGCUCGCACGCACUACCAUACACAAACAAACAAGUUAAUGCACGCAUGUAUGUUUCUUCAUGCCCGCACACGCUUCUUUAUAUGCAUUUAUGGCAUUAUGUUUUUUGUUGUGUAAAACACCGUUGACUUAUUUACUACACAUCUACUUAAGUCGUAUUUACUUAUUUAAGAAGGCUUAGCGACCAUUAGCAGCUGUACAAUAUUUUCAUAUGUACAAGUAUGUACUUGUAUACUUGUAUACCGUUUCUUUGCACAAUGCAGGAAGAAAUUGAUUUUAAGCGCAAAUAAAUAACAGACUAAAUGCAAAGAAAUGCGAGACAUUAACAAAUAUAAACCACGAAACAAAAGGGAAAUCACUUAAAAACCAAAAUAUAGCGGGAAAACAGGGAAACGUUGUUUUUCACAAUAUUGAAUGAAAGAGUAAUAA